GCGGCCACAGCGCGGGGGUGCAGAGGGAGAGUGCGAGAGUGGGCGAUAAAACGGGAAUAUGGUCGAUCAGCUGCGUGGGAGACAAGAGGUUAGAGAAGCGCCACGCAGGGGCACUGAAAGCCGAAGCAAUACGAACCAGUGACUCCGCGCAAGAAGGAGAAAGGCAAGAAGAAUCAGCAAACUUUUUCAGCGGAAGUCGGAGACGCACCCGUGCUGCGAUGCGCAGAGCUGUGCACUUCGACAUGUAAUCGUCUUCCCCCUCCCCUGGCACACAAGGGAGUUGUGCUGUGCCCAAUGUGAGCGCUGUGCGUGUGUUCACAUGCACUCGUUUGCCUGCGGCCGACGCGUUUGUGCGCAAGGUGCGCGCGUGCGUGUUUACGGGAGGGUAGGAGUCGGGGAGGUGAUCAAUACACACAUAUAAGAAUGUGCAAGUGCCAGCGCCCCCCCCUCGCCCUCGCCCUCGCCCUCGCCUCUCUCUCUCACUCUCUCUCUUUCGGCGUCUGCACCGGUGAAAACAGACACGCACGCGUGCCUCAGAAAUGUGCGGUGCUUCAUCAAGUGCUGUUCCUCAUCACGGUUUGCCGCAUGUGGACAGAGAGCGACGCCAAUGAUGAGGGGGAGCGCGUGAGGGUCUGGCGCCGAGCACUUCGCAAUGGUUGUCACCUCGGUGCUUGUGCAGGCCAUGGCGCACAGAUCCAGCGCAGUCGUGUACUGUAUCCCGGCCCUCACUUAGGCACAGUGUGCCUCUGCACGAGAGCAGCUGUACGUGCCGUGACAAUGAUGCACAGCGGUUUACACCUUCUCCCUAUUGUUUUCUUCCUGUCACGCUUCCUUCUUUUGUGUGUGUGUGUGUGAGGAGGGCUUGCCCCUCCAUCUCCUGUAUCUCUAGCACCUAUUCCCGCACUGACUUACCCCCGCUGGUGUCUUCGUUUCCCAUUUUUGUGCCUGACCGAUCCGUUGUAAGACACUCCUGCUUUCGCUUGCGCGUGCUUGUGCUUGCUUAGGUUCGCGUACACGUCUGUUUUUCUUUUUUUUUCCCGCGUUGAGGCUGUAUAAAGAGAAAGAAGCGCGAAGAGAAGUAAAAGGGGAUCGACAAUGACCUGUGCGACAGAAGACACACAGACUGCGUCAUGUGCUCUUCUACUUGCUGCGUGGCCGUCCUUCCCCCUUGUCGUCUUCUCAGCCGCCACCUCUUCCUGUUCUCACUAUCGGUCUGUCUCGCUUUCUGCAAGCCAUCCGUCAGCGCAUCUCGAUAACUCUUUCCUAUCAUUUUCUUGCAUAUUUUUACACAAGCGCUCUUUGCUUUGUAUUUAUCAGCCUCGCGUCUGGCAUGCUGAACGCCUCCUGUCCUCGCAGAUGACCUCCACCACCGCGCAGCUUCUGACCCCAGUCCACAGUACCCCUUGAACCAGCCGUUUAUAUGGACGCGUCGCCACCGGUGCUCUUGACUAAACGGCACCGAGCAAGUGCGUUAGAAAAGUAGUAGCGAAAAGGUAUGGCAUUGCGCGCUGUGUACUUGAGCGCUUUCCUGCCCUCAUUCCUUUGUUUUUCGACUAUAUCGGGCGCGUCAGCACCUUCUUGUGACUCAACACCGGGUGUGCGUGCGUGGGUUUGUCUCGUUCUUUGGAGUGCCAAUUGCGUAGUAGAAGGCGGAGAAAACGCAAACUGGAAGGUCAUGAUGAUUCGCAAUGGCACACAU
rnacentral:misc_RNA from 1 species